rnacentral:tRNA from 1 species
GGAUUAUGGCUCAGUGGUAGAGCAUUCACCUAGCACGUGCAGGGCUCUGGGUUCGAUCCUCAGCACCA